AAUGAACGCUGGCGGCGCGCCUAAUACAUGCAAGUCGAGCGAGAAGACGUAGCAAUACGUUUGUAAAGCGGCGAACGGGUGAGGAAUACAUGGGUAACCUACCCUCGAGUGGGGAAUAACUAGCCGAAAGGUUAGCUAAUACCGCGUACGCUUCUUGGACUUCGGUUCAGGGAGGAAAGCGAUGCCGAGGGUAUCGCGCUCUUGGAUGGGCUCAUGUCCUAUCAGCUUGUUGGNGAGGUAACGGCUCACCAAGGCUUCGACGGGUAGCUGGUCUGAGAGGACGAUCAGCCACACUGGCACUGCGACACGGGCCAGACUCCUACGGGAGGCAGCAGUGGGGAAUCUUGCGCAAUGGGCGAAAGCCUGACGCAGCGACGCCGCGUGAGGGAUGACGGCCU
rnacentral:rRNA from 1 species